UUUAGCCCACUUCUUGGUCUUCAAAGCCUGGUUGGUUUGAGCCGCAAGCAAACAACAACAGAAGAGUUGGGUCUUGAUCCUCCGAAGCUCUCUUCCUUUCUCCUGCCCCAUCUUAAUCCUCCUUCUCGCCCUUCGACGCAUCGCCAUGGUUCUUGAGGCCACGAUGAUCUGCAUCGACAACUCGGAGUGGAUGCGGAAUGGGGACUACUCGCCCAGUCGAUACCAAGCCCAGGCCGACGCUAUCAAUCUCAUAUGCGGAGCUAAAACUCAGUCGAAUCCGGAGAACACGGUGGGUGUGCUGACGAUGGCGGGGAAAGGGGUCCGUGUCUUGGUGACGCCCACGAGUGAUCUUGGAAAGAUCCUGGCUUGCAUGCAUGGUUUGGAAAUCGGUGGUGAAAUGAACUUGACUGCAGGAAUACAGGUAGCCCAGUUGGCUCUUAAACACAGGCAAAACAAGAAACAGAAACAAAGAAUCAUAGUUUUUGCUGGAAGUCCAAUCAAGUAUGACAAGAAGACAUUGGAGGCAAUUGGGAGAAAGUUGAAAAAGAACAGUGUUGCUUUGGAUGUUGUUGAUUUUGGAGAAUCUGAUGAUGGGAAACCUGAAAAGUUGGAGGCCUUGGUUGCUGCUGUGAACAAUAAUGACAACAGUCACAUAGUUCAUGUUCCACCUAGUCCAAGUGCCCUUUCUGAUGUGCUUAUCAGCACACCUAUUUUUACUGGAGAUGGGGAAGGUGGGAGUGGUUUUGCUGCUGCAGCGGCAGCAGCUGCAGCUGGUGGCAUGUCUGGAUUUGAUUUUGGUGUGGAUCCUAACAUGGAUCCUGAAUUGGCCCUGGCAUUGAGGAUCUCCAUGGAAGAAGAAAGAGCAAGACAAGAAGCUGCUGCAAAAAAGGCUGCUGAAGAGGCUGCUAAACAGGAGAAAGUAGGGGAGCAAGCUUCAAGUUCCCAGGAUGCAGCUAUGACUGAAGCAGUUGACACUUCAGCUGUUGUGGCUGAUGAUAAAAAGCAAAAUUUAACGGAUGAUGAGGCUGCAUUGCUAGAACAAGCUCUUGCAAUGUCCAUGGAUGGUGCUAAGUCCACCAGUGUGGAUAUCACUGAUGCUGACAUGUCAGAUGCUACGGCAGAAGAUCCUGAAUUGGCAUAUGCCGUGGUCUCGGGGUCGACGCGGCUCGUUCAGGGGUCCGAAUGGCGGGGAUCUCGGGCAGACGUCCCUCGGGGUCUCCCGGUUGGGAUCGGUUGUUCGGGUCGGGAGGAAACUCCGCCGCAGCGCCGGGAAGAGGUGACACCGUCUCGCACCUGCACACAGGUCGGGCCGGGAGCUCGGCCAGACCCCUCCUACGAUCAAGUUAGAAGACAUGGAGGGGAGUUUUUCUAGUGAAGAAGUGUAUUUUCAAGUGUCUUCCCCCCCUCGUUUAGAACUCGGGGGUAUUUAUAGAUGAGUUUGAUGUUACCUGAUGUGGCUGUUUGCAGGGGCAGGACAGUACCUCUCGUGGCGUCUGACAUUGCCGCUGGGGUUGCGUGGAGAACCGGGCUACCGCAGGGUAUGGGCACGCCUCGGUCGACGUGCUCUGCCUCGGUCGAGCGCACGGAGUCAAAGCUCCUCGGGUAGUGCGUUCGCCUGGUGUGGCUGACGUCGUGGCGUGUCACGUCGAGGAGGUGGCCUCGGCCGAGGGAUACCAUUUUUUCCCUUAUCAUAUUCCCCCCCCGAAAGGAGCUAUGUAUCGGUUGUCACGCAAGGGGAGUCCGAUGCAUGGCUUCUGUCUCCAGGUGGGCUGGCCGUGCGGACGCAGUUUCGGGGAGAACGGAGCCGAGGGGCCGAGGAGCGCGACGCAGGCGGGCUAGCCGCGCAGGCGUGGUCUCGGGUGGCGUAAAGACGAAGAGCCGAGGAGCACGACGCAGGCGGGCUGGCCGCACAGGCGUGGUCUCGGGUGGCAUAAAGCCGAAGAGCCGAGGAGCACGACGCAGGUGGGCUGGCCGCGCAGGCGUGUCUCGGGAGCAUGGGGCCAAGGAGCACGACGCAGGCGGGCAGGCCGCGCAGGUCUGUCUUGGGAACAUGGGGCCAAGGAACACGGCGCAGGCGGGCUGGCCGUGCAGGUGUGGUCUCGGGUGGCGUAAAGCCGAAGAGCUGAGGAGCACGACGCAGGCGGGCAGACCGCGCAGGCGUGGUCGCGAGGGCCAUGCGGCCGAGUAGCACGACGCAGGAGGGCUGACCGCGCAGGUGUGGUCGCGUGGGCCAUGUGGCCGAGUAGUACGGUGCAGGCGGACAGACCGCGCAAGUGCGUCUCGGGCAUUAUGCGGCCGUGGAGGUAGGCUCGGGCCGAGAGACAACUCAGGCGGGCAGGCCGCGCUGAGGUGAACUCGACAGUGAAUGGUCGAGAAGCUCAGCACAAGCAAGCUGCGGCCGAGUGACACCGCUCAGGCGGGCAGGCCGCUCUUAGGGGAGCUCGGCAGCGUGCGGCCGAGGGACUCAGUGCAGGAGGGCCGACAUCGCCGGUGUGUCUCGGGAACAUGGGGCCAAGGAGCACGACGCAGGCGGGCAAGCCGCGCAGGUCUGUCUCGGGAACAUGGGGCCGAGGAACACGGCGCAGGCGGGCUGGCCGCGCAGGUGUGGUCUCGGGUGGCGUAAAGCCGAAGAGCCGAGGAGCACGACGCAGGCGGGCAGACCGCGCAGGCGUGGUCGCGAGGGCCAUGCGGCCGAGUAGCACGACGCAGGCGGGCUGAUCGCGCAGGUGUGAUCGCGAGGGCCAUGUGGCCGAGUAGCACGACGCAGGCGGACAGACCACGUGAGGUGGAGUUGAGCAGUGCAUGGCAAGGGUAUGGGCACGCCUCGGUCGAGCGCACGGAGUCAAAGCUCCUCGGGUAGUGCGUCCGCCUGGCGUGGCUGACGUCGUGGCGCGUCACGUCGAGGAGGUGGCCUCGGCCGAGGGACACCAUUUUUGCCCUUAUCAGUGCCCAUUUGACCAUGUAUUAAUGACACUUAAAUGCCCUUCAAAUGUCUGUUCAAGAAACUGCAAAAGACUCAUCAUCCCAGUCAGAGAUGAGCAAGGUGCUUGAGGACCAAUCAUUUGUUUCAUCUGUCCUAAACUCG